CGGGGGGGGCAAGCGUUGUUCGGAAUUACUGGGCGUAAAGGGCUCGUAGGCGGCCAACUAAGUCGGACGUGAAAUCCCCAGGCUCAACCUGGGAACUGCGUCUGAUACUGGAUGGCUUGAAUCCGGGAGAGGGAUGCAGAAUUCCAGGUGUAGCGGUGAAAUGCGUAGAUAUCUGGAGGAAUACCGGUGGCGAAGGCGGCAUCCUGGACCGGCAUUGACGCUGAGGAGCGGAAGCCAGGGGAGCAAACGGGAUUAGAUACCCCGGUAGUCCUGGCCCUAAACGAUGAAUGCUUGGUGUAACGGGUAUCGAUCCCUGUUGUGCCGAAGCUAACGCAUUAAGCAUUCCGCCUGGGGAGUACGGUCGCAAGGCUG
rnacentral:rRNA from 1 species